AGCAGGUGCUGUCUAGCUGGGCAAA
rnacentral:misc_RNA from 1 species